GACAUUUUUCUCUGAAUUGACCAUGAAUGACAGGAGAGGACAGGGAACAGUGUCUUGUCAAGAGUUUGGCCAAUUCAUCGGAAAUACAAUCGAGCAAGUCCAAAUACGACUAGACCCUGAAAGUUUACCACUUGGUUGACAGUACUGACUCAGUAGAUCAGGAAAGCAUCCAUGUCUCCAGUAGAAAGUAUAUGCAUGAAAUGCCAACAGAUAUCACUCUCAAAGAUCAUCCUUUUGAUAAAGAGCAACGGAAACGGGUAUGUGGAAGGCGUCAGACUGGAACAGUAGUCACGGAGAGAAAUUCGUUACAGAAGGGGUCGCUGGGUGUUAGAUGGGAAAA